UCCAUCAGGGUCGUUAUGAGUCAGCAUUAACUUGAUGGUGGUACCUCCUUUCCAAGACGCCAGCUUCUCCUCUUGAUGAUGUUGUAUUCUGCCAUCCGAAGGGCUUGGAAGUUCUAAACUCCGGAAUAUCUUGAGUCUGCAGAGACUGUUCCUUUGAAAGACAAAAAGGAAUUAUUCAACAUGUAGCGUAUCUGAGAGAAAGAGUCAGAAUGCUUAUCUACCGUUACAAAGCCAGCAGUCCCAGCUGCCAGCCACGACUGUGUGAUAGUGCCCUCUGUGUGCCCUGCCCUGCGUAAGUAGCCUUGCGACUGAGAAGCCGUGGAUACCAUGAUCGCCUCAUGUUGAUGGUCUCCCUCUCCCAGAUUUUCAAGAAUAGACUCGACACAUUGAACAUUAGUGACCAAAGACCUGUUGAGCUGUGGAAUGACAUCAAGAACAUCAUAUGUGAUGAAAGCAAAAGGUCAUUAAGAAGACAAGAAAGACAAAAAAGAUGAAAGAUAAUGUCAAUAGAGGCUCUGAGAUUUG